AUUGAACGCUGGCGGCAGGCCUAACACAUGCAAGUCGAACGGUAACAGGAAGCAGCUUGCUGCUUCGCUGACGAGUGGCGGACGGGUGAGUAAUGUCUGGGAAACUGCCUGAUGGAGGGGGAUAACUACUGGAAACGGUAGCUAAUACCGCAUAACGUCGAAAGACCAAAGAGGGGGACCUUCGGGCCUCUUGCCAUCGGAUGUGCCCAGAUGGGAUUAGCUUGUUGGUGGGGUAAUGGCUCACCAAGGCGACGAUUCCUAGCUGGUCUGAGAGGAUGACCAGCCACACUGGAACUGAGACACGGUCCAGACUCCUACGGGAGGCAGCAGUGGGGAAUAUUGCACAAUGGGCGCAAGCCUGAUGCAGCCAUGCCGCGUGUAUGAAGAAGGCCUUCGGGUUGUAAAGUACUUUCAGCGAGGAGGAAGGUGUUGUGGUUAAUAACCGCAGCAAUUGACGUUACUCGCAGAAGAAGCACCGGCUAACUCCGUGCCAGCCGCCGCAGUAACAC
rnacentral:rRNA from 1 species